GACGUAGGGCGCGAGCGUUGUCCGGAUUUAUUGGGCGUAAAGAGCUCGUAGGCGGUCUGUCGCGUCGGCUGUGAAAACUCGGGGCUCAACUCCGAGCUUGCAGUCGAUACGGGCAGGCUAGAGUUCGGUAGGGGAGACUGGAAUUCCUGGUGUAGCGGUGAAAUGCGCAGAUAUCAGGAGGAACACCGGUGGCGAAGGCGGGUCUCUGGGCCGAUACUGACGCUGAGGAGCGAAAGCGUGGGGAGCGAACAGG
rnacentral:rRNA from 1 species